CGCCAGACUCCUACGGGAGGCAGCAGUGAGGAAUAUUGGUCAAUGGUCGGGAGACUGAACCAGCCAAGCCGCGUGAGGGAUGAAGGUACAGAGUAUCGUAAACCUCUUUUGUCAGGGAACAACGGGGUCCUUGCGAGGGCCCGAUGAGAGUACCCGGAGGAAAAGCAUCGGCUAACUCCGUGCCAGCAGCCGCGGUAAUACGGAGGAUGCGAGCGUUAUCCGGAUUUAUUGGGUUUAAAGGGUGCGCAGGCGGAAUGUCAAGUCAGCGGUAAAAUUUCGGGGCUCAACCCCGUCGUGCCGUUGAAACUGGCGUUCUUGAGUGAGCGAGAAGUAUGCGGAAUGCGUGGUGUAGCGGUGAAAUGCAUAGAUAUCACGCAGAACUCCGAUUGCGAAGGCAGCAUACCGGCGCUCAACUGACGCUCAUGCACGAAAGCGUGGGUAUCGAACAGGAUUAGAUACCCGAGUAC
rnacentral:rRNA from 1 species